UCUGAUCCACGUAUUUUGUGAGAGACUUACCUCAAACCUCAACUAUUUCAGGUCUGUACUGUCAGACUGAAACCAUCAGCGGCAUGAAGCAACAGCGAAAGCUGAAAAUCUUAGACAAACGAGAGAAGAGAGAGGACAGAAGUGUUGUGAACCUAAAUAAGAGGAUUCAUACAGGAGACGUCCAUCACGUCCUGGCAUCACAGAAGUCCAAGACUUUCGGAUGUACCCUGCCAGAAAUUGUCAAUCGCCAGCUGAUGACACAACAAACAGGCAAA